ensembl:snRNA U6 U6 spliceosomal RNA
GCGCUCGCUUUGGCAGCACAUACACUAAAACUGGAGUGAUACAGAGAAGCUUAGCUGGGCCUCUGCGCGAGGAUGACACGCAGAUGCCAUGUGGUUCCUCCAGGCCUC